UACGUAGGGGGCAAGCGUUGUCCGGAAUCAUUGGGCGUAAAGAGGCGUGUAGGCGGCCAGAAAAGUCCGCUGUGAAAACUCGAGGCUACAACUUCGAGCUGUCGGUGGAAACUUUCUGGCUAGAGUCCGGAAGAGGAGAAUGGAAUUCCUGGUGUAGCGGUGAAAUGCGCAGAUAUCAGGAAGAACACCUGUGGCGAAGGCGGUUCUCUGGGACGGUACUGACGCUGAGACG
rnacentral:rRNA from 1 species